AAACAUCGCCUCUUGACAGAAUAUAAGAGGUCCAGCCUGCCCAGUGACUCUGUUUAACGGCCGCGGUAUCCUAACCGUGCGAAGGUAGCGUAAUCACUUGUUCUUUAAAUGAGGACUAGUAUGAACGGCAUCACGAAGGUUAUACUGUCUCCUUUUUCCAAUCAGUGAAACUAAUCUCCCCGUGAAGAAGCGGGGAUGAUAUUAUAAGACGAGAAGACCCUAUGGAGCUUUAAACUAAAUAACACCUGCUUUUUGACUUAUCUUUUCAGAAUGAUUAACAAUUAUUUUAGCUUCUUGAUUAUUAGUUUUAGGUUGGGGUGACCACGGAGAAAAAAACAUCCUCCAUAUUGAACGGAACUUAAUUCCUGAGCUGCGAGCUACAACUCAAUGCACCAAUAAAUUGACAUCAAUUGACCCAAUAUUUUGAUCAAUGAACCAAGUUACCCUAGGGAUAACAGCGCAAUCUGCUUCAAGAGCUCCUAUCGACAAGCAGGUUUACGACCUCGAUGUUGGAUCAGGGUAUCCCAGUGGUGCAGCCGCUACUAAAGGUUCGUUUGUUCAACGAUUAAAACCCUACGUG
rnacentral:rRNA from 1 species